rnacentral:rRNA from 1 species
CUUUGGUUUUAUUUUGUUGGUUUAAGAACCAAAGUAAUGAUUAAUAGGGGUAGUUGGGGGCAUUAGUAUUUAGAAGUCAGAGGUGAAAUUCUUGGAUUUUUUAAAGACUCGCUAUUGCGAAAGCAUUUGCCAAGGAUGUUUUCAUUGAUCAAGAACGAAAGUUAGGGGAUCGAAGACGAUCAGAUACCGUCGUAGUCCUAACCAUAAACUAUGCCGACUAGGGAUCAGUGGAUUGUUUUAGGACGCCAUUGGCACCUUAUGAGAAAUCAAAGUUUUUGGGUUUUGGGGGGAGUAUGGUCGCAAGAGUGAAACUUAAAGGAAUUGACGGAAGGGCACCACCAGGAGUGGAUUGUUCGGCUUAAUUUGACUCAACACGGGAAACUCACCAGG